AUACACACACACACACAUAUAUAUAUAUAUAUAAUAUUAUAUAUAUGUGUGUGUGUGUGUGUAU